GACGAACGCUGGCGGCGUGCUUAACACAUGCAAGUCGAACGUAAAGGCCCUGCUUUUGUGGGGUGCUCGAGUGGCGAACGGGUGAGUAACACGUGAGUAACCUGCCCUUGACUUUGGGAUAACUUCAGGAAACUGGGGCUAAUACCGGAUAGGAGCUCCUGCUGCAUGGUGGGGGUUGGAAAGUUUCGGCGGUUGGGGAUGGACUCGCGGCUUAUCAGCUUGUUGGUGGGGUAGUGGCUUACCAAGGCUUUGACGGGUAGCCGGCCUGAGAGGGUGACCGGCCACAUUGGGACUGAGAUACGGCCCAGACUCCUACGGGAGGCAGCAGUGGGGAAUAUUGCACAAUGGGCGGAAGCCUGAUGCAGCAACGCCGCGUGCGGGAUGACGGCCUUCGGGUUGUAAACCGCUUUCGCCUGUGACGAAGCGUGAGUGACGGUAAUGGGUAAAGAAGCACCGGCUAACUACGUG
rnacentral:rRNA from 1 species